rnacentral:misc_RNA from 1 species
GAAAUGCGAUACUUGGUGUGAAUUGCAGAAUCCCGUGAACCAUCGAGUCUUUGAACGCAAGUUGCGCCCGAAGCCAUUAGGCCGAGGGCACGCCUGCCUGGGUGUCACACAUCGUUUCCCCAACGCAAACAUGUAACAAUGUUGCUUGAAAUGAAGCGCGUGUUGUGCUUGGUCACACUCUUGACUGGCGUACCAGUUCUCCUCGGAGAUUCCUUUGCGCCAUCCAAAGUCGAGAGCGAGUAUUGGCCCGCAAUCGCGACUGCUUUACCCCCUUGUGGGCCCCUGGUGGGCGUGCUGUAAUGGCGCGAACACCACACCGUUGAUCUCAAGUCAGGCAAGACUACCCGCUGAAUUUAA